rnacentral:rRNA from 1 species
GAAAGAUGAAAAGAACUUUGAAAAGAGAGUUAAACAGUACGUGAAAUUGUUGAAAGGGAAACGAUUGAAGCCAGUCGUACCUUCGGGUAAUCAGCCUUUCGGGUGCGAUUCUGUGGGGUUUGAGGAGCUUUAACACCUUCAUGCUUUGCAUAUUCGUGCUCUUGGGUGUACUUGCUCGUAUGGUUGGUUAACAUCAAUUUUGGUGGUCAUAAAAUGACUGGAGGAAUGUAGCUUCGAUCUCGUAUUGAAGUGUUAUA